ACUCAAAUGAAUUGACGGGGGCCCGCACAAGCGGUGGAGCAUGUGGUUUAAUUCGACGCAACGCGAAGAACCUUACCUGGGCUUGAACUACUCGUGGUAAGUCUCUGGAAACAGAGGCUGACCCGCAAGGGAGCGAGCAGAGGUGCUGCAUGGUUGUCGUCAGCUCGUGUCGUGAGAUGUUGGGUUAAGUCCCGCAACGAGCGCAACCCCUAUCUCAUGUUGCUAAUCCCGCAAGGGAUGCACUCUUGAGAAACUGCCUUCGAUAAGAAGGAGGAAGGUGGGGACGACGUCAAAUCCUCAUGGCCCUUAUGUCCAGGGCUACACACGUGCUACAAUGGCCGGUACAACGGGAAGCAAUACCGCAAGGUGGAGCCAAACCCUGAAAGCCGGCCCCAGUUCAGAUUGUGGGCUGCAACUCGCCCACAUGAAGGUGGAAUCGCUAGUAAUCGCGAAUCAGCAGGUCGCGGUGAAUACGUUCCCGGGCCUUGUACACACCGCCCGU
rnacentral:rRNA from 1 species